AUUCCGGUUGAUCCUGCCGGAGGCUAUUGCUAUCGGGAUCCGAUUCAGGCAUGCUAGUCGUACGAGUUCAUACUCGUGGCGUAUAGCUCAGUAACACGUGGUCAAACCACCCUCUGGACUGAGAUACCCUCGGGAAACUGAGGUCAAUCUCGGAUACUGCUUUCACGUUGGAAAAACGGAAAGCUGGAAACGGUCCGCCGCCGGAGGACGUGACUGCGGCUGAUUAGGUAGACGGUGGGGUAACGGCCCACCGUGCCAAUAAUCAGUACGGGUUGUGAGAGCAAGAGCCCGGAGACGGAAUCUGAGACAAGAUUCCGGGCCCUACGGGGCGCAGCAGCCGCGAAACCUUUACACUGCACGACAGUGCGAUAAGGGGAUCCCGAGUGCGAGGGCAUACAGUCCUCGCUUUUCGUGACCGUAAGGUGGUCACAGAAUAAGGGCUGGGCAAGACCGGUGCCAGCCGCCGCGGUAAUACCGGCAGCCCGAGUGAUAGCCAAUUUUAUUGGGCCUAAAGCGUCCGUAGCUGGCCGAACAGGUCCGUCGGGAAAUCCACCCGCUUAACGGGUGGGCGUCCGGCGGAAACCAGUCGGCUUGGGGCCGGGAGACCAAAGGGGUACGUCCGGGGUAGGAGUGAAAUCCCGUAAUCCUGGACGGACCGCCGGUUGCGAAAGCGCCUUUGGAGAACGGACCCGACAGUGAGGGACGAAAGCUAGGGUCUCGAACCGGAUUAGAUACCCGGGUAGUCCUAGCCGUAAACGAUGCUCGCUAGUUGUGACGCAGGCUACGAGCCUGCGUUGCGCCGUAGGGAAGCCGAGAAGCGAGCCGCCUGGGAAGUACGUCCGCAAGGAUGAAACUUAAAGGAAUUGGCGGGGGAGCACUACAACCGGAGGAGCCUGCGGUUUAAUUGGACUCAACGCCGGACAUCUCACCGGCACCGACAACGUG
rnacentral:rRNA from 1 species